rnacentral:misc_RNA from 1 species
GAUGAAGAACGUAGCGAAAUGCGAUAAGUAGUGUGAAUUGCAGAAUUCAGUGAAUCAUCGAAUCUUUGAACGCACAUUGCGCCCCUUGGUAUCCCGAGGGGCAUGCCUGUUCGAGCGUCAUUUCACCACUCAAGCCUGGCUUGGUGUUGGGCGACGUCCUCUUUGGGGACGCGCCUCGAAACGCUCGGCGGCGUGGCACCGGCUUUAAGCGUAGCAGAAUCUUUCGCUUUGGAAGUCGGGGCCCCGUCUGCCGGAAGACCUGCUCGCAAGGUUGACCUCGGAUCAGGCAGGGAUACCCGCUGAACUUAAGCAUAUCAAUAAGCAGAGGA